rnacentral:rRNA from 1 species
GACGAACCGUGCGAACGUUGUUCGGAAUCACUGGGCUUAAAGGGCGCGUAGGCGGCAAAUCAAGUCCGGGGUGAAAGCCCCUCAGCUCAACUGGGGAAGUGCCUCGGGAUACUGGCUUGCUGGGAGGGAGGUAGGGGUGCGAGGGGAACUUCUGGGUGGAGCGGUGAAAUGCGUUGAUAUCAGAAGGAACGCCGGUGGCGAAAGCGCUCGACUGGACCUUUUCUGACGCUGAGGCGCGAAAAGCU